GGCCUCGUGGCUGAGCGGCUUAAGCAGUGGUCUGCAAAACCAUUUACACCGGUCCGACUCCGGUCGAGGCCU
rnacentral:tRNA from 1 species